CUUGAAGAUUGUAAAGAUACUGUCAUCACUCAGAGCUGUGCAGGAAGGAAAGUUAGUGCAUGCAUUUGUCAGAGCUCAGCUGAGGUUGAAUGAAGUGAGACAGAGCAUGCCUGUAUUUUGCUGUAUGCAGCCUCCAAGUCCUGAUGUAGCCUUUAAAUACAAGCCUUGCUUUAACUUUUUGUCUAGAGUUCCUGCCUGUGCAGGAAGGGAUUGGCUGCAGCCAGCCAAUGUGCCCAGGCAAUGCUCUGGUCAUGAAAAGAGCUGAUAAUUCAUUGAAUCCAUGUCUGCUGGGAUGCCCAGGACUGGAUUUCUGCCUUGCAUCCAGCUCAGACCCUCUAACUCUGCAAGUGUUCCCAGGCUUUGGAAGAAUGAAUGACUGCUGGAGUGAGUUACAGCCCAUGUGGAUCCUAGAAAACACACUCCUACCACAGGCUACUCCAAGGAUUCCCAAGCUCAGCCCCAGCCAGGCUCCACCCAGACACCAGCAAAAGAAACCUGAUGUAAACAGAAGGAUUGUUUGUUGA
rnacentral:lncRNA from 1 species